AUCCUGGCUCAGGAUGAACGACUAGCGGCAGGCUUAAUACAUGCAAGUCGUGGGGCAGCAGGUUUGUAGCAAUACAGAUGCUGGCGACCGGCAAACGGGUGCGGAACACGUACAGAACCUUCCUUUGAGCGGGGAAUAGCCCAGAGAAAUUUGGAUUAAUACCCAUAGUAUAAUGAAGUGGCAUCACUUUAUUAUUAAAGAUUUAUCACUCGAAGAUGGCUGUGCGGCUGAUUAGGUAGUUGGCGGGGUAAAGGCCCACCAAGCCUGCGAUCAGUAACUGGUGUGAGAGCACGACCAGUCACACGGGCACUGAGACACGGGCCCGACUCCUACGGGAGGGCAGCAGUAAGGAAUAUUGGUCAAUGGAGGCAACUCUGAACCAGCCAUGCCGCGUGGAGGAUGAAGGUCCUCUGGAUUGUAAACUUCUUUUAUAUGGGACGAAAAAAGGCUUUUCUAAGUCGUCUGACGGUACCAUAUGAAUAAGCACCGGCUAACUCCGUG
rnacentral:rRNA from 1 species